AGUGAAUAGAUACCCAGGUAGUCCCAGCUGUAAACGAUGCGCGUUAGGUGUAUCGGUGACCACGAGUUACCGAGGUGCCGAAAGGGAAACCGUGAAACGUGCCGCCUGGGAAGUACGGUCGCAAGGCUGAAACUUAAAGGAAUUGGCGGGGGAACACCACAACGGGUGGAGCCUGCGGUUUAAUUGGACUCAACGCCGGGCAGCUCACCGGGUAAGACAGCGGAAUGAUGGUCGGGCUGAAGACUCUACUUGACCAGCUGAGAGGAGGUGCAUGGCCGUCGUCAGUUCGUACUGUGAAGCAUCCUGUUAAGUCAGGCAACGAGCGAGACCCACGCCAACAGUUGCCAGCAUGUCCUCCGGGAUGAUGGGGACACUGUUGGGACCGCCUCUGCUAAAGAGGAGGAAGGAAUGGGCUACGGUAGGUCAGCAUGCCCCGAAUUACCCGGGCUACACGCGGGCUACAAUGGGCAGGACAAUGGGUAUCGACACCGAAAGGUGAAGGCAAUCUCCUAAACCUGUCCUUAGUUCGGAUUGUGGG
rnacentral:rRNA from 1 species